UUUUUUUUUUUUUUUUUAAGAUCCCUCUCAUUAUAGGAUGUUGAAUGGACUGGAUGUUAAAUGCUCAAUGAUGAUGCUGUUGUAGCAGUAGAGGUGGGACACAGUGGAAGUCAAGACAAGGAGCAUAGUGGUGGGAAUGAAGAGAAGUAAAUGUGUCUGAAAGGAAGGGGCUUGUGAAGACUGUUUAGAAGUGUUGUAUGAGAGAGAGGCAGAGUUCAGACACGGCACUGACAUUUCUGAUUGAGUCCAUGGAAAUCAUUCACUGAGGUGCAAAACGCAGGAAGUUAGAUGAGUUUUAGGUGAGUCUGGGUAGAAAGAUAUGAGUUCUGUUUUAAGACUCAUGUAAUAUUUCCAAAAGGAGAUGAAUCAAAUAUGUCUAGUUUCUCCAUCCAGCUAUGAAUCAUUGCAUUACUUUUUUUUAAAAGUUGAAGAUAUAGUUACCUUGUAUCUUUAAUAAAUCUUCCACUAUAUAUCAACUUAUAUUAUCAGUGCAUUGAAUAUUUUUAAUUUAUUUCUUUUCAGGCAUUUCUCAUAAAUGUUGAAGCUGUCUUGGAAUUCAGAACCUUAUAAUUUGAAUAUAUUCACAUAUAGAACACCAGCAUGACACUUAACCUUGCUAGGCUUCAGGGAUCUAAUGGAAAACAAAAUAAAAGACAGCUGACCAGACUUGAGGUUAGAAGAAAUAAAUGUAGGAUGUAGUCACUUAGUAGCACUGUAGUUAAGGAUCAUAGGAUUCAUAUACAAAAACUGCGGUGCAGUCAAAUAGCCUCAAUAUCAUGCAAGUCAUUUAAGGUGCUAACCACCAUUUCAAAUAUUCCACUUUCUCAGUGAAUGCAUUCAUAUUCACCCUCGGCUCUGUCAUCAUUAUAACUAACAGUCCCUGUGCAAAUAUAUCUUAGUAGUGGGUUCUGUAUCAUGCCCAUUUUACAGGUGAGAACUCUGACACUUGAAAUGUUUUCAGUAUAUUGUAUAAAGUCAAAAGAUGAUAAGUUGUGGCACUGGAGCUUCACCCAAGUCUGUCUGUAUGAUUUUGUAUAAAAAUUCUCAUUGCCCAUGCAAAUGAUGUUACAAAGAAAUUGUUAUAGCUGAUAAUGCACAGCACAUCACUGAUUGCAUGCCCUUUUCCAUAUGUAAUUAAGACAUUUAAUUCUACCUGUUAGGAAGACAGCUUCGGACUGGAGAGGAAUAUGUCAAUCUUAGAGGGUUGAUGUUAACAUUAAAUUUCUUCCUAAAAUGACGAAGUACUGUCUGGCAAAGCAAGCAUCAGGGUUGUGCUGUGGACACGCACCGUUAUCACCAUUAUUCCAAAUUUUCUUAAGAACAAAGAAAGACAAGCUAAGUAACUUGCUCCAGAUCACUCAAUGAUGAUGGUGGAAUCAGGAUUUGAUUCUGAAUCUCGCUACUCGUAGAGUUAAAUGUUCUUUACAUAGCACUUCAUCUCAAAGAAUUGGCUUCCUGUAAUAAAUGUCUUACAUUUGGCAGUCACCACUAUAUGACAAAAUCCAAGUUUUAUUAUUGUCAUUGGGUCCCUUGCUUGAUGAUUGUCACAUUAUAGAGUUAUAAAAUGAUGUUAAAUAUAUUUGAAUAUGUAUCCAUUUUGCGACGCACUCCAAUCCACAAGUCUAAGUAGUUUGUAACUCACUGGGUGAUUUAAACACACACACAUACUUAGUAAAAAUGUCUACUUAUGGGUCUGAAAUGCAAGUUACGGUGAAAGUUCACAAAGCUGUGAGCUUUAUGGGAAAGGGCAGGCAUCUGUCUUAUACAUAAUUGGAAUUCACAAUGUAGGAUAGUACAGUUGUCAUGCAUCUGUUAAAGGCCAAAAAUUUAUUAGAGCAAAUUAGAAAUUACAGACAUUCCCUUUGGAUAAAGGAGUCCCUCAGUAAUAUGCAACAGCACUUGGAGAAAACUGUUGGAGAAAGAACAAUGAUGGCAGAUCACAGAUAGUGACAGAUCUUUGUGUUUACACAUGACGGAUAUUGUUUGAGAAUAAUUUUUAUUGCUUUGUUCUUUUAGUCCAUAAAUAUUUCUUAGUGAUUACUGCCUUUUGGCAGUAUUCUAUCUGAUGGAGAUACUAAGGUAUUCAAAGUCCUUUCUUCAUGGAGCUUACAGUCUAGGGGUCACUCACUAGACUUGUCAUUUCACCUAUUAUGGACAUCUUCCCAAUGGAAAAAAAUUCAGCUGGCCAUAUGGAGAUUUUGGAACAUAAUUAAGAACAAGCUGGUAUGAAGUCUGCCUGUACAUUUGAAAAGUGGCAUGCAAGUGUAAGAUAUGUGUUUUCUUACACAUAAUAUGGAGAGAAACAUUUUUUCAAGCUAUCUAAUAGGAGAAAGGUUAGGAUAAAAUACGUACAUGACAACAUAACUGCUAGCUUUUUUAUAUUUAAUCUUUAAUAAGUGAUAAAUCUCACACCACAUACAAAAAUUAACUCAAAAUUGGUCACAAACCUAAAUGUGAAAAAUCUCAAAAGCUUUUAGAAAAAAAAAAGUAGAAGACCAUCUUUGAAUAGAAAGAUAGUGAAAAUAGUUUAUUGACUUUCCAUCACAACAAAAUCCAUAAAAAAUUGAUAAAAUGGAUUUAAUAAAAUUUUAGAACCUUUGCUCUAUAAAAUAUCCUCUUUAAAGUUUAAAAAGACAUGCCACAUAGUAGGGGAAAUAUUUGCAAAUCAUAUAUUCACAUAUGAAGAACUCUCAAAACUCUGUAGUUAUAAAAGAAACAAAUUAAAAAAUGGGCAAAAAAAAUGAAGAAACAUUUCACCAAAGAGGAUAUGCAGAUGGAAAAUAAGCACAUGAAAAUAGAAUUUAAAAUCAUGAGUACUGAAUCAUUCAUAAAUUGGUGUUAGGAAUGGAUGACAUGCCAUCAUUCUGGAAAACAAUUGGGCAGUUCUUUGAUAGAACUAAGCAUGGAGCCAAGAUCACAGGGUAGAGAGACCCUGAUCUUACCUCCUCUCAGAGGCACAUCAAAAUUGCAACUAUUUAUAGAACGCCUAUGGCUAUAAAAGCCUGGAAAUUACCAGAAAAGAUGUACAACUAAAGAUAUGAAGAAGGAACCACAACAGGAACAGAGGAGCAGUGUUGCAGUAUAGUCAAUACUGAUGUGCCUGGGUAAGUGACCCACAAAGAGGAGAAUAAUUAAAAACACAGAGAUUUCCCUCAAAAAUCAAGGGAUCUGAGCCCUACAUCAAGUAACCAACCCAGGGGUCUUUUACCUGGAAAAGGCUUUAAAGGCCUUGCAGGGCUUACAUUCAGGAGACCCAGAAGGCAGUGGAAAAUAUUGACUCCAGUCUUAAAGUGUCCAUACAAAAUCUCACAUACCCCAGGACCCAGGGCAUUAAUUUGAAAGGAGACUGGGUCAGACCCAUCUUGUGAUCUUUGAGAGUCUCCUAGAGAGACAGGAUACACUUGGAGUUCACCCUGAGGAUGUAGACAUUGACAAUAGCCAGUUUUGGUAACUUAUCCUAUUGCAUGCACACUAGUGCUGCCAAAUUUGCACUUCUCACUCUGACUUAUUAGCCUUGGGAUCCAGUCCCACAUAUGCCCACCAUCCCAUAGUCACCAAUACUGGGAUGACGCAGGCCAAACGAGUAACUGGUUGAUGGCAUAGCCCCAUCUACCAGCAGAUAGGCUGCCUUAAGACCACCUCAGCCCACAGAAACCCCUUGCCAGUCCCUGCGCACCAGUGGGCCCAGGAGCAGACCCCACACAGAAGUGCAAAGGCACUAAAACAGGAACCACCAUGGCUCUAAAAAGAGAAAUCCUGGAUCCCUUCUCCCCCCAACUAGCGGUCAGACAUCAGUCCUAGGAAAAUAAUAGCCUUCAAGCUUUUAGGCUGAGCCCACAUAUCAGAAGGCCAGCACCUGGGACUGUCUGAUUUCUAGCCCCAGGCCCUGGUGAGCCUUCUCUAGCCUUGGAAACAGCCUCACCCACCAGAGGUGAACAGGCCCAGAAAAACCAUAGCCCUGUAAUCUGAAGACCCAGUCAUCUCAAUAGCAGGACAGUAACUGCUCUGUGACAUUCUGGGCUCAAGAUCUGGCCACCAGCAAGCAGAAACAAGCUUUGAGACACCCUAGAUAUGGCAUCUAGCUGUGUCAGGGACCAGCCCCACCCACCAGUGUUCAAACACCAACUGUGGGACACUUGGGCCCUGCAGCCAGAGCCUUGAACAGAGCUCUGCCUACCAAUAGGCCCAUGUUCUGCUGUAGAACUUGUUUCCUCUCACUGGUUGGUGGGCAUAAGCCUGGGCAUAUCCUGGACUCCAUUCCAACCACCAGUGAGACAGCACUAGCAUUGGAGCCCCUUGAAGUUCUUUAGUUAAGAGCCUCAUGACCUGGCCCCAAAAAACAGUAGCUUCCACAUGAGGCAAAGCUUGGAAAUCAACUGGAUAAGAGGCAGCCAAGGAUACCAGAGUGUGCUCAGAAUUUAGUCCACAAUAACAGGAGUACCCAAACAUCCCACAAGGGGGCACUUCGAGAACAAAUAGUUCUAGUAAUCAGAGAGGAGUGAGCUGCAUAAGAAAUUUUCUAAAAACAG
rnacentral:lncRNA from 1 species